rnacentral:lncRNA from 1 species
GGGGAUCAAAACUAGCAAUAUACCAGAUACCAAAACACUGCGUUUAGGCGCAGAUUAAUUGCGAUAACGCGCAAAUCUUUAGAAAAAAUUAAAAAACAAAGAAGAUGCACAGAGGGCCCAAUCCGAUGCUAGCGAGAAAGAGAGGAAUCUAAUGCGCAAAUAACCCUCAAAGACUAAAGCGCAGAUCCUAUCCGGGCACGGGUCGGGUUAUCGGGCUAUGGCUCCUGAAACAGUGCGGUUUUGUAGCCGUUGAGAUUGGCUUAAAACGACAUCGUUUCAUAUGUUUCAUAAAACAAAAUUAAAGAAACUCUAAGUUAACUAUUAGCCAUUUGAAAAGGAACCCAACAAGUCCUAAAGCCCUUCCUUUCCCCUCUCAUUCGACUGAACUAAGAGGCACCCUUGGACUGCCGUUUGGCCUCCAUGUUUAGCCGACAGUUAUCACGCAAAAGCCUAAUCCGGCUCCAUCCAACCGCGAAUCCAAGAUUUUGCUCAAAAGCUUCAAAGUCCUCGCCUAAACUUCGAUUACGACAAAGUAAGCAAGGACUCAAAUGAGCCAAUACGAAGGUAAAUCUUUUUCCUUCCUUUUUAAACGAAUAUCGAUCAUAGAGAAAGCAAAAAAAAAAAAACGAAGGAGAUGCUAGAUUUAAAACAAUCACCUUUUUCAAAAUUGCUUUCGAAAUGCUCUUUUUUUCUCUAUAUUUCAGUAUGCGUGUGUGUAAAAAAAAAGGGAACCGUUACAAUUAAAAAUAAAAAGGGCUUUAUAGCCGAAUAAUGAAAACCAAAAAAUACAAUCUUUCUUUCUUUUCUCUUCAUUUUGCCCUUGUGUUUGUCCCUUUUUGCAGGUAUGUGGUGUGCGUGACGCGUGUACGGAGGCUGUGCGCUAGCGUACGGAAGCGCAAUGGAGGCCAUACAUGGGGGAGCGGCGCGAGGCAAAUAGGGGCUAAGGUUUUGGCUGAAUUUGUUUUAGUUUUUGGGCCGUUUGGGCCUUAGGGUUAGUUUUGUUUCGGGCUUGUUUUAUUUUGGCAGAUUUGGGCUGAUGUACUAAAGGGACUUGGACUAUUAAAAUUUGGUUUCAUUAUUAUUUGGUUUAUGUUUGUACGGGCCCCGGGCAGAUUUGGGCCUAUACACUAAUUUCCUAGCAAAUUUGCUUAGAAAAAGCACAUUACAUAUCAGCCGUCUACAAUAGGACUUAUCAAAAGAUAACACAAAAGUUAGUUCAAUUACUUGAAAUUUCAAAUAAUUAAUUUCCCUCAUAUAACAAUCGUCUCACCCACAUUUCUUUUUGUUCAUAUGGGAUAGUAAAGAAAACAAGCAUAUUAAUUGGAUUACUAGGGAUCUUCCUUGUAGCAAUAAGUUUUUUUCGCUUGGGACAGUCCUAUAAUUUUCAUCAACUCAUCCCAAGGUU